GAUGAACGCUGGCGGCGUGCUUAACACAUGCAAGUCGAACGAAGCAUUUAAGACAGAUUACUUCGGUUUGAAGUCUUUUAUGACUGAGUGGCGGACGGGUGAGUAACGCGUGGGUAACCUGCCUCAUACAGGGGGAUAGCAGCUGGAAACGGCUGGUAAUACCGCAUAAGCGCACAGUACCACAUGGUACAGUGUGAAAAACUCCGGUGGUAUGAGAUGGACCCGCGUCUGAUUAGCUGGUUGGCGGGGUAACGGCCCACCAAGGCGACGUUCAGUAGACGACAUGAGAGGGUGACCGGACACAUUGGGACUGAGACACGGUCCAGAAUCUUACGGGAGGCAGCAGUGGGGAAUAUUGCACAACCGAGUAAACUCUGAUGCAGCGACGCCGCGUGAGUGAAGAAGUAGUGCGCUAUGUAAAGCUCUAUCAGCAGGGAAGAUAGUGACGGUACCUGACUAAGAAGCCACGGCUAACUACGUG
rnacentral:rRNA from 1 species